GGGUUCUGGGGAAUUGAACCUCGAGCCGUGGUCCUUAGACUUUCACAGGUGUGGUGAUGAACGCCUUGAAUUUCAGUACUUGGAGGCCAAGGUUGCCUGCAAUCAAGCAUGCGAGGCAAACAGAAGGGCUUUUGCAACGUCACUUUCUCCGACCGUCCGUAAAAACGCACAGGAAUUCUCUCUCGAAACAUGGCAGGAAGGGCGUGGUAACUAGAAGACGUCAGGCUCUAGGAAGCCUAUCAAAGGGAGCUUUGCCCUGAAGUCAGCCACCUGGAGGAGAGAGCUCGGGACUGCCUGACCCAAGAGAGAGACUUUCAGGCACAGUUAAGUGAUCAAGUGGAUCCAGGAUGCUCAGAUGUCCUUUCCAGGUAAAUUUCUGUCCUCCAGUCAAAGUGCAAGGAAUGAGCAAUAGACCAGCGGGCCUCUUCCCUGGCCACCUGACUGAGAGUUUAGCUCUCGCCCACAAAUGCCAGGAUACCAGACCAAGGUGCCAGGGAGCAAGUCUUCAGAGGAUAAAGAUGUAGAUGGAAUUAACUGACCUUCCUCCAGCCCUGCUUGUGAAACGGGUCUCUUGAAACCCAGGAGGGCCUCAAACUCCUUGUACAGCUGAGGGUGACCUGACAUUUCUGAUCCUCAGUGUCCCCAACAUAACUGCCGUUAUAACCAGUAUAUACCACUACGCGUGGUUUGUGCAGUAUGGGUGGGGGGAACCCAGGCCUUUGUGGAUUCUAGGCAAGAACUUUGCCAGCUGAGCUAUAUCCCAGCCCUCC